AUGCCGUUCUGCAAACGGACGAUACUUCCGAAAGAUGUGUGCCGCCGACGACGAGGGGGGGAGGACAGCGACGCGAACGCACCGAUCGCGGGGUUCGUGGACCUGGUGGACGUGUGCGGCUUCGCGCUGUGCGCGGUUCUCCGCCAGCUCUCGGACCUGUCCCGCCACUCGGUCCGCAUCCUCGAGGAGCUGGAGGGCGAUCUGGUGGCCGUGUGUCGCCGCUCUGGUGCGCUCGAGGGGAAGCUGGUCGGCCUGCAACGGCACGUCGCUGCGCUGGUCAGCAAACCGCCUCCGAAAACAGUCAGUGGUCUUGAGGCGGAGGGCAGCAGCGGCGGCGCUAGCAGGCGAGCGGGCACCAGCAGCAACAGCUGCCACGGCAACAGCGGCGGCGGCGGAGGAGCGGCGUCCUCCAGCAGCAGCCACGGCAGCGCUGGGCCGGCCCACUCUGGGUCUCCAUGGCAACAGAGCGUGAACGUGUUCGGCUCGUGGAGCCGGCCGGACUGCGUGGAGGAGCUCCACCAGCAAGCCCAGCAGAACCUCCAGAGCCUGCUGCAAGGUAGGGCGAGAGACACCCGCACACAGCUGAGGGGAGAGAGAGAGAGAGAGAGAGAGAGAGAGAGAGAGAGAGAGAGAGAGAGGAGAGAGAGAGAGAGAGAGAGAGAGAGAGAGAGAGAGAGAGAGAGAGAGAGAGAGGGAGAGCGCUACAGGGAGACCGAGGUGAGGACGAGAGACACACACCUGGAGAGAGAGAGGGGAGGGAGAGAGACACCUGGAGACGAGGGAGAGAGAGGGGAGCGAGCGACGCCAGCUGACUCCUGGAGAGAGAGAGAGAGAGAGAGAGAGAGAGAGAGAGAGAGAGAGAGAGAGAGAGAGAGAGAGAGAGAGAGAGAGACACGCAUUAACACACAGCUGAGGGGAGAGAGAGAGAGGGAGAGAGAGGGAGAGAAGGAGAGAGGGAGGGAGGGAGGCUCAGAGGAUGGAGGAGCGGUAGAGAGAGAGUGGGAGGACUUGAUGAAGAGAGGAUGCUACAGUCGGAGGGUGGGAUGGAGAGAGGGAGGGUCUGUCGGUGCGCUACGACCCAGCGUGCGGGGUAAGAGCUGGCGACGGAGCAUGGGGGGACGGAGGGAUGGAUGGACGGGCUGGGGGGUAUUAUUGUGUUAUUCUUGUGUGUGUGUGUGGGUGUGUGUGUGUGUGUGUUUGUAUUGGUGCAUAUUGUGUUAG
rnacentral:lncRNA from 1 species